UCCCAUCAGCAGCCAGACUCAACAUCUGGACAUCACUCAACUCUGUCACACACGUGCAGGCUCUCUAGCUAUUACAGCAUCACUUUCACUGAUAAUGCUGAUUUCUGCCGCUGGAUCUCUGUUGAUUGUAGCUUCGGUCGGGAUCUUCUUCAUCUGCAAGAAAUGUAAAAAAACAGUCACGUCACAGGAAGAAGACACAAUUGAGUUAGAAUUUUAUAAACCAACAAUACAAAACACGAAAUCAAAGACGGAAGGUGUGCAUGAAAAUGUCCCCAAAAAACAGUGUUUAGGCAUGAGUUUGUCUUAUUUUUAGAUUGCUGGAAUUGACGCAUUUGAACAGACUGAAAAUAAAAUGUAAUACCUUUGAAAAUAAAGUUGGAUAUUCCAGUA